rnacentral:lncRNA from 13 species
CAUUGGGCAAUGGCUGCCCCUCCCCACCUACCAAGAAUGGCUGGCCCAGUUUUCUGAUAGGCUGAGCUAAGGUGGUGCAAAAAUUCACAUUCAAAUUCAAACGUGCAUCAGCAGAGAGACCAGCUCUGACUCCCACUUUUGUAACCCACUUUUUUUCUUUUUUUUCUGGUUCUGCUGGUCCAAGAGCUAUGACCUUGUCUGCGCUGAGAAAUUAUCUAGGUUUAGCACCGACAGACCAGCUGCUGCUGCAGAAGACAGUCGAGGUCUCAGAGCCCACCAACACAACCAACUUGAGAAGAGCCAACGAUGUGCAACCUGGCCUUGCAGUCCCUGGAGUCCUUUGCACAGAAGCUUGCAAAAUCCCAGGAUGACAACAAAUGUCUGCCUCAGAUGAGAGCCCAUGUCAGUGGCAGAUCUACCCGAUUCAUCUCGGACUGACAGAUUCUACAACAGCCCUAUGCCUUACUUUGUGAGACUGCUUAAUGCUGCUUUACUGUGAUAUUGUACACCACUUCUAAUAUAUAUAUAUAUAUAUAUAUAUAUAUAUAUAUAUAUAUAUAUAUAUAUAUAUAUAUAUAUAUAUAUAUAUAUAUAUAUAUAUAUUACAUUAACUGAAUUUCCUUGAUCAAGCAAAGGUACAAUGUACACAACAUCUUUAAGGAUGAUGUCAUGCCAAAACAAUAAGGAAAUUUGAAUUAAAAAAGCAUCUUUUGAAAUACAAUCUCGAAGUUAUUGCCUGUAACUCUGACAACAGGGCAGAUGAGAUCAAUUCAGGCUUUGCUGAGAACACUAUCUUGCCAGUACUUUGGUAAUUCAAUAUCAUAGUCAAGUUGAGUUUUGUGUGUGACUUUCUUCAUCUCCUUUCAAGGAGGAUGGCAAAAAACUCCAGCACUUUGUUGGACAUUUGCUUGCUGCUGCACCCGGUUACACUUUAUUGUAGCUAAUAAUGGCAUUAAAAGCAAGCCACAGAUAUGCUGCUCCCAUCCACCCAUAGAGAAUGAUAGAGGCCUCUAGUGGCCAUAAGGCCGUUGUAACAUGUUUGAGGGCUUCCAUCAUUUUAAUGUAGUCAGCUGGGUGGGACUUACAACUUCACUGGCUGAUCCCUCCUGGUGACCCUGUUGGAGUCAUGUCCAAUUAGGUCAUCGGGAGGGAUCAGCCAAUCGUGAAAAAGAAAAUGGACUACUUUAAAAUGGAGAAAAUGCCUCAAUUCACACGACAUGUCACUUCCGGCUAAAUGAAAAUGAGGACCAGGGUGGGAAACAGAGGCCGGAAACCUAGGCAACAUAGUCAAAAGUCAUACUGCUGUGUCCCUGGAUGUAACUCCUACAAAAGGAGGAAGUCAUGCAGAGAAUUAACUUUUCACAGUUUCCCCAAAGACUGUGCAAAACCCGACGCCAAUGAGUGGUGAAAAUAAAGCGAGUUGUCAGGCCACAUUAUAAGGUAAGUUAAGAUUUUUGAAUUUAAUGUUGCUAGUUAGCUUAGCUAGUUAGCUAGAUAUCUACUGUCCAGCCAGGCUAACAACACAGCCACCAGUUAGUUGAGAAAUUCUAACAUUGGUACUUAGUACCUAUUUUUGCAUCUCUAACCAAUAUAGCAAGUUAUAAUGCUUGAUAACUAAACUGGAUCAAUAUUUCCCUACAGAGUUAAUUGACAACAACCAAAGUGUGUUCAAAACACUGUUGUGGACUCCUUUUUAAAGACCAUAAGUGGGAAACGGAUGCUAAAGGUGCAGGUUGUGCCGACUGUGUUCACCUGGAUGUCCACCCCAAAACCUGGCAGGAAGACCAUCAUCAGAAAAGCUGCAAGGUAGGCCUAUCUAGCGUAGCUUACCCCUAAACUAGCUAACUACUAGUUUAUUAAACAACUUGUCAGGGAGAGUCAAUAAUCAACUGUAAUGUAUUUUUCUGUGUUACAGUGAGGCUGCCCGUCAUGGAAAGGAUGCACCCGCUGAGGAGCCAGAUGAGCUAAGGUAGUUGUUUAUUAUUACAUAUGUCUUUUCUGUCAUUUUCAAUAGUUCAUAGCAGGUACAGUAUAUGUAACCGAAUCUUGUAUCUACAGUGACUCUCUGGAUCAGGACCCUCAAGCUGAGAAUAUGGCUUGCCAAAUCAUGUUCAGAUAUAGACUUGCGAUCUGAACUACAAUCACUUUAGUGUUUUUUGUGAGUUUACAAUAUUUGGUUUAGCCUCGGUCACUAGCUCCCAUUUACAAUCAUUCACAAUAAAUGCAUCAGUAUCUGCCCGUCUGCUCUACAUAAAGGCCAUGCAAGUUCAUUUUGAGUUGAUUUUCUGUAAGCCUUCUACCAACAGAAAAGGAACAUGUAUUAAUUUGCAUGGCCUGUGUUUGGAAUAGAACCAUGUAGAGUUGGCAGUAUUCAUUUUGAGAGCAUGUGGUUGGGCUUUUAAAGCAGCUUGAAGAGGCACGCAAGUCGAGGAAAUUGUGAAGCUUCGGGCAAACCAGUUCCUCCUUCAAUGCUUCC